UAAAUCAGAUGCCUUCAGAUUGCCUAUAACAAACGUGUGUAACCUCUGACCAAUGAAUUCUUAUCUUGGCAUUAGACAAGUACAUAAACACUCAGUAAGGGAGUUAAUCAGACAGACAGCGAAGAUGAAACUGAUGCUUGUUUUAGUUGGUAUUUGCACAAUACUUGCCCUUGGGCAUGCAUCAUGGUCUCUUUUCUCCCCUAACCCAAUCCCCAGCCAAGAACCCUGUAGCCAGCCCCUGACCGUGUGUGCUAACCCCUGCAUCGGACGUACCUGCAGAUAUGUUACAUCUGCCGUCUGCGUGCCAGAUUACUGUGGUGGAUGCAACUACAAGUUCUAUAUGAAUGGUAUUCUAAUAAAUGACGACGUAUGUUCACUACUCAUUGUUGGGUAAUCACGUGUUCUUGCCUCAGUUCAUUAAACAAACAUGAGCU